rnacentral:lncRNA from 1 species
CAGGCGGGGAGGGGCGGGCCCGGGGCGGGGCGGCGCGCUCUGGGCUCCGGCCCCAGCCGGAGGUUAAGGGUCAGGGUUGGGGGCUGUGGGCGGGAUACGCUCUCUGGAGCUCCAAGCCCCGCUGGAGAGUGGGGGUCUGGUUCCAGGGGGGCCCGCGAACGCGAACCGGGAUCCGCCCCGGCUGGAGGAGAGGGGCCCGGGGCGGGAGCCCGGCGCGGACUCGGAGCUGGGGUGGCCUCUAGAAGCGCCGACUCUGGUGAACCGAUCUACUGAGGGGGAUGGCGUGGAGCGCGCGCUCGGCGAUCGGCGCCACCUGCGGGUCGGGGAGGGCGAGGCGGCGAUGCCCGGAGGCGCGGGCGCAACAGAGACAUGUGACACGGAUGAACCUUGAUAGCUUCCUGGACCUCGCUGUGCAGUACAGGCUGGCCUUGAAUGCUAGCCUCGAACUCGUGGCGAUCCUGCCUCAGCCUGCCUCAGCCUGCCUCAGCCUGCCUCAGCCUGCCUCAUCCUCUUGGCUCUGAUUUGCUCCUGUACCCUUGCUGCUGCACAUCCAUCCGGGUCGACCCCCCGCUACCCCAGUCAUUCACAGAUUUCCUCCACAGGAGUUCUGAUCACCCCCACCCCCCACCCCGUCCUUGAGCAGCAGGCCG